rnacentral:misc_RNA from 1 species
GAAUAUUCCUUGGAGCCGUGGGGGAGUGAGUGACAAUGACUACAUUUUUGCAUUUGAGCAAGUCGUGCUUCCCAUAGCUUUGGAUUUCAAUCCAGACUUUACUAUCAUUUCAGCAGGAUUUGAUGCUGCUAGGGGUGACCCCCUUGGCUGCUGUGACGUAACUCCUGCUGGUUAUGCAUCAAUGACUCAGAUGUUGAGUGCAUUGUCAGGUGGAAAAUUGCUUGUUAUUU